AGUGAACGCUGGCGGCGUGCCUAAUACAUGCAAGUCGAACGGAGUGGCGCACGGGUGAGUAAUAUAUAGCUAAUAUGCCCUACACUAGAGGACAACAGUUGGAAACGACUGCUAAUAUUCAAUAGUUUAGGAAGAGGCUAUAUUGUAACAGCUAGUUGGUGAGGUAAUGGCUAACCAAGGCUAUGACGCAUAACUGGUCUGAGAGGAUGAUCAGGCACACUGGAAAUGAGACACAGUCCAGACUCCUACGGGAGGCAGCAAUAGGGAAUAUUGCUCAAUGGGGGACACCCAGAAGCAGCAACGGCGGGUGGAAGAAGACACUUUUCGGAGCGUAAACUCCUUUUGUUAGGGAAACGGUACCUAACGAAUAAGCGCCGGCUAACGCCGGGCCAGCAGCCGCGGUAAUAC
rnacentral:rRNA from 1 species